rnacentral:misc_RNA from 1 species
UGCAACUGAGCCUUCUGCCAUGACU